rnacentral:rRNA from 1 species
UGGGGAAUAUUGGACAAUGGGGGCAACCCUGAUCCAGCAAUGCCGCGUGUGUGAAGAAGGCCUGAGGGUUGUAAAGCACUUUCAGUGGGGAGGAGGAUUGUUUGGUUAAGAGCUGAAUGAUUGGACGUUACCCACAGAAGAAGCACCGGCUAACUCCGUGCCAGCAGCCGCGGUAAUACGGAGGGUGCAAGCGUUAAUCGGAAUUACUGGGCGUAAAGGGUGCGUAGGUGGUUGGCUAAGUUAUCUGUAAAAUCCCUGGGCUUAACCUGGGCAGGUCAGAUAAGACUGGUUGACUCGAGUAUGGGAGAGGGCAGUGGAAUUUCCGGUGUAGCGGUGAAAUGCGUAGAGAUCGGAAGGAACACCAGUGGCGAAGGCGGCUGCCUGGCCUAAUACUGACACUGAGGCACGAAAGCGUGGGGAGCAAACAG